rnacentral:rRNA from 1 species
UACGUAGGGGGCUAGCGUUGUCCGGAAUCAUUGGGCGUAAAGCGCGUGUAGGCGGUCCGGUAAGUCCGCUGUGAAAGUCGGGGGCUCAACCCUCGAAUGCCGGUGGAUACUGUCGGGCUAGAGUGCGGAAGAGGCGAGUGGAAUUCCUGGUGUAGCGGUGAAAUGCGCAGAGUAUCAGGAGGAACACCAAUUGCGAAGGCAGCUCGCUGGGACGUA